rnacentral:snRNA from 1 species
ACGCUCACUUCAGCAGCACAUAUACUAAAAUUGGAACAAUACAGAGAAGACUCACAUGGCCCCUCACAAGGAUGACACACAAAUUCAUGUAGCAGUCCAUAUUUUU